CUGCUCUUUCCGGUAAGUGAGUAGGGCCAGUCCCACACGAUUAGCAUAGAUAAGACAAGUCAGGUAGGAUUGGUCGGAGAAGGAUUGGACAUUUCCAUUGAUCAGCUCAUCCAAUCCAGUCUAUGAUCAGGCAAGGGGGCCUAAAAGUAGACGUAACUAUAGGCUUAAGCUCGCUUAAAUGCAAUUUAUCCUUAGGCCGAAUACCUAGUUGAGAGGGGUCCCUAAUGUGAGACCCUUCGUCCAUUCAUUCAGGAUCAAAAGCGGGCCUAAUUGAAUCAUCUCAUCGAGGAUUGCAUGUGAAAAGAUCGGAUCUUCGAAAUCCCCAAUCGUUCGUUACUGAACCUAAAAACUCGCCGCUUCUCAUGUAAAGUAGUGUUCUCGCUAGCUGGAACGGAACUCUCAAAUGGAGGAACAAGCGUAGGCCUUCUUUGAGUAUAGCUUCAAGUAGCUCUAAGAAGUUUACGUCUCGGUUCGGCACUCGGCUUUCUGAAGUUCUUCCAUUCCAGGGCGUGAAGCUUUCCGUGGACAGGACAGGGUCCGUCAACUAGCUUAGCUACCGAUUGGGGGAUGCUUUCACCUUGAAGGUAUUAACGGGCUUGAGCCAGGCCACGCAAGAAAAGGAAAGAUUAAUUCUAGGCCAGUGAAAUGAAUUAGAUGGAAAAACACCGAUACAGAUAAGUUUUUCAGAACUUUUUUUUAUGUGUAAACUUAUUAAUUGUUAUGGGGAAGUACUUUAUGUAUUAUAUGUAAUUCUUAUGAAUUGUUUAAGAGGUGCACUAUGUGUUUUAGUGUGAUACGAAUUUAUUGAAAUUAAUUGAUGAUUGAAGUUAGUUUAGUUAUGAAAAC
rnacentral:lncRNA from 1 species